rnacentral:misc_RNA from 1 species
GUCCCUAAAAGUACAAUAGGAUUACGCAAUACAAAAAUAGCAAGCAUUUAUGCAAAGGACGAAGAGCAAUCCAUCACAUGGUGUUAAUGUGAAGUAGAGGAUGCGCAUCUAAAUGUGAAGAUACGCUAACACUACCAGUCAAUGAUCCGGUAGAAGAAGAAGCAAUAUCCCAUGUCGCAGCAUGUUCACCUAUACAAUAAUCAACCUCUUCAUAAUCUUGCUGAAUUUGGGUCGAUGAAGCUCCCUGAGAGGCUCUAAUCCCUUCUAAUUCCAUUGCCACUGUCUUCAUGGUAGGUCUCUUCUUCCCAUUCAAGUCCAAGCACCUUUUUGCAAGCUUAGCAACUGCAACAAUCUCUUCUUUUCCACCCUCUUUAAGAACUCGAGUAUCAAGAAUUUCAAACAAACGAGUCUCCUCCAUUGAUUGUAGAAAAUAUGCAGUCAAAUUUCUCUCUUCAACAGAUCGUAAUGAAGAGAUGGCCUUUUGUCCUGUUAAAAGUUCAACAAGAACUACUCCAAAGCUA